rnacentral:rRNA from 1 species
AUUGAACGCUGGCGGCAGGCCUAACACAUGCAAGUCGAACGCGUGGCGGACGUGAUAGCAAUGUCUGGGCAACUGCCUGAUGGAGGGGGAUAACUACUGGACACGGUAACUCAUACCGCAAACCUUCGGCUGUGCCCAGAUGGGAUUAGCUAGUAGGUGGGGUAACGGCUCACCUAGGCCACGAUCCCUAGCUGGUCUGAGAUGAUGACCAGCCACACUGGAACUGAGACACGGUCCAGACUCCUACGGGAGGCAGCAGUGGGGAAUAUUGCACAAUGGGCGCAAGCCUGAUGCAGCCAUGCCGCGUGUGUGAAGAAGGCCUUCGGGUUGUAAAGUACUUUCAGCGGGGAGGCGUUACCCGCAGAAGAAGCACCGGCUAACUCCGUGCCAGCAGCCGCGGUAAUAC